ensembl:lncRNA
AACUUUUGAAGGAGAUGUACUGUAUUACGUUAUAUGUUUACUGUAUGAAUUUAAACAUAAUCCACCCUGACAUUUAUUUUGUUUUAUUAUUAUUCCAUAGGAGCUUGUCAAUUUAUUGCUGUGUGGACAGGCUGUGUCCAAUGUCUUCAACAACAAUAUGGAGCUGGAUUCAGGCAAUGGAAACCUGACCCUUCUCAAGGGAAUAAGAUGUCGCAGUGACAUUGGACUGCUGUAAAAACACAUGGUUACAUGACACAGUAUUAAUGUCUACACUUCUCAACCAAGACGUUCUAUUUCCAGAUACCUUUUUUUUUCUAAUGAUCAUGUAUGGUUUGAUACAUUUUGAAGGUUGGCUCCAACCUGAAGACUCCCAAGUUCCCUAUCUGGGUGGUGUGCAGUGAGAGCCAUUUCAGCGUGCUCUUUGGUGUGCAGGAGCUGCUGAGUGAGUGAUCGGGGAGUUUGACCUGUACUACUACGAUGGCCUAGCCAAUCAGCAGGAGGAAAUCUGCUUAACUGUCUUUGUAGGUACCUCAGGAAUAUCUGCUGGCUGCCAAGGUGUGGACACUGAUCUCAUUCCUCCUCUUGAACACUGUAUACGGACCAAAUGGCAGAACUUGAGAUUCACGGCCUUGGUGAAGACACAGGAACUCGAUGAGUCAACAUUAUGGCAUCUUCGUCGAUACCAUGCCGCGUCUCUGGCAGAGUAUGCGGUGAUGAAGAUGACACACCACAGUAGCUACUAUCUUGUCUCAUCGCUACAACUCCCGUACGGGCUCGGGAGAGACGAAGGUUGAAAGUCAUGCGUCCUCCGAUACACAACCCAACCUAGCCGCACUGCUUCUUAAAACAGCGUGCAUCCAACCCGGAAGCCAGCCGCAUCAAUGUGUCGGAGGAAACACCAUGCACCUGGCAACCUUGGCUAGGGCGCACUGCGCCCGGCCCGCCACAGGAGUCGCUGGUGCGCGAUGAGACAAGGACAUCCCUACCGACCAAGCCCUCCCUAACCCGGACGACGCUAGGCCAUGUGCGUCGCCCCAUGGACCUCCCGGUCGCGGCCGGUUACGACAGAGCCUCGGCGCGAACCCAGAGUCUCUGAUGGCACAGCUGGCGCUGCCGUACAGCGCCCUUAACCACUGCGCCACCCGGGAGGCAUUUCCAGAACACUUGCUCUCCACUGCCACCUCGGCUCCAAGUUAGCUUAUGCUGCAGUCUCCAAGUGCCAAGAGGCAACCGGCUUCAUUAAUAAGUGCAUUGACGAUGUCAUCCCCACAGUGACCGUACGUACAUAUCCCAACCAGACGCCAUGGAUUACAGGAAACAGCAGCCUUGAGCAAAAGGCUAGAGCUGCCUCUUUCAAAAGAGCGGAACACUAACCCAGAUGCUUAUAAGAAAUCCCGCUACGCACUCUAACGAAUCAUCAAACAGGCAAAGAGUUCAUACAAGACUAAGAUCGAAUCCUACUACACCGGCUCUGAUGCUCGUUGGGUGUGGCAGGGCUGGGAAACUAUCACGGAUUACAAAGGGAAACCCAAUCACAAGCUGCCCAGUGACACAUGCUUACCAGAUGACCUAAAUGCACUCCAUGUUCGCUCUAAGCCAAGCAACACUGAACCAUGCACGAGACCACCAGCACAACACAUCCACCACACUGACCCCUCAGGAGGACGUGCUUAGUCCCCUCCUGUACUCCCUGUUCACCCACGACUCCAAUACCAUCAUUAAGUUUGCAGACGACACAACGGUGGUAGGCCUGAUCACCGAAGAGACAGCCUAUAUGGAGGUGGUCCCGACAGUGUAAUGCCAGGACAACAACCUCUCCCUCAACAUCAGUAAGACAAAAGGAGCUGAUCGUGGACUAAAGGAAAUGGAGGGCCGAGCAUACCACCAUUCACACCGACAGGGCUGUAGUGGAGUGGGUCAAGUUCCUCUGUGUCCACAUCACUAAGGAUCUAUCAUGGUCCACACACACCAACCGUACAGCUUCACCACCGAGAACAUCUUGACUGGCUGCAUCACCAUUUGAUUAUAGCAAUUGCAAGGCACUACGGAGGGUAGUGCGUACGUCCCAGUACAUCACUGGGGCCGAGCUCCCUUCCAUCCAAGACCUCUAUACCAGGCGGUGUCAGAGGAAGGCCCAAAAAAAUUGUCAUAGUCUCCAGCCACCCAAGCCACAUACUGUUCCCUCUGCUGCCGUAUGGCAAGCAGUACCAUUGCACCAAGUCUGGAACCAACAGGACCCUGAACCCCAAUGCCAUAAGACUUGUAAACAAGACUGUUAAAUACACUACAUGACCAAAAAUAUGUGGACAGUCUGCGUUUCAAUUCAUCCCAAACGUGUUCGAUGGGGUUGUGGUCAGGGCUCUAUGCAAGCCAUACAAGUUCUUCCACACUGAUCUCAACAAACCAUUUCUGUAUGGACCUCGCUUUGUGCAUGGGGUAUUGUCAUGCUGAAACAGGAAAGGGCCUUCCCCAAACUGUUGCCACAAAAUUGGAUGCACAGAAUCGUUUAGAAUGUCAUUGUAUGCUGUAGCGUUAAGAUUUCCCUUCACUGGAACUAAGGGGCCUAGCCCAAACCAUGAAAAACAGCCCCAGACCAUUAUUCCUCCUCCACCAAACUUUACAGUUGGCACUAUGCAUUGGGACAGGUAGCGUUCUCCUGGCAUCCCAGACCCAGAUUCUUCCGUCGGACUGCCAGAUGGUGAAGCGGGAUUCAUCACUCCAGAGAACGCUUUCCACUGCUCCAGAGUCCAAUGGCAGCGAGCUUUACACCACUCCAGCCAACGCUUGGUAUUGCGCAUGGUUAUCAUCUUAAAUGUCACCGACCGCCACUGAUGCCCACACACACAUAACAUGCACUGUCUAUUAUCUAUCCUGUUGCCUAGUCAUGUUACCCCUACUUAUAUGCACAGCAGAGGAGGCUGGUGGGAGGAGCUAUAGGAGGACAGGCUCAUUAUAAUGGUUGGAAUGGAGCCAAACAUGUUGCUUCCUUGUGUUUGGUACCAUUCCAUUAAUUCCAUUCCAGCCAUUACAAUGAGCCCGUCCUCCUAUAGCUCCUCUAUAGCCUCCUAUGAUGUACAGUACAUAGCAACCUCAAAUACCUCAUACCCCUGCACAUCGAAUCGGUACUGGUACUCCCUGUAUAUAGCCAUGUUAUUUUCUACUCAUGUUAUUUUUAUUCGUGUCACUAUUUCAAUAUUUUAUAUUACAUUUUGUAUUAACUGCAUUAUUCGACCCGUAAGUAAGCAUUUCACUGUUAGUCUACACCUGUUGUCUAUGAAGCAUUUGACAAAUAAAAAAUGUGAU